rnacentral:ribozyme from 13 species
UUUUUUCUUUUUUGUCUUUCAAUUUCUACUUUUUGUGAUUUUGAGUUUUGUGCUCCAACAAGAAGAUUUUUGAUGAGAAUAAGAAGGGGGGCAAGAGAGAGAGAGAGGGCAGUGAAAAAGA